GAAGAAAAUCAGUCCGAGUAACGUUGGACAAUUGUUUACGGCCAAACCCUGUUGGAAUCUGCAUGUGUCUAAUCGAAUCGUCUUCUCCUUACCGGCGGACGAACUACAAAAACGUUAUGGAAGUAGGCAACCUUCAAUCUUCGUCAUUAAUGCCCUCAUUAACAAUACCUCCCCACUACUCACACGACUUUUUACUCAAUACGUCCCUUUUUUUAUUCCCUUCAUUGAAUCUACAGCUAUAAAUGUAAGAGUUUAUUUUGGUGAAAAUCAUCAGUUCUUUACUCUCAAUCGUUACCAAACUUUCAGAAAUGAGAAUAUCAAACUUCUCUCCCAUGUUCUCCGAUCUGAGAGCCGGUCGUUCUAGCACCACCGUCGAGAUUUUGCCUGUUGGGAUUUUGGGAGUCGAGAUCUCUCCCUCUGUUAUGUCGUGUUUUGUUUUCUUCUCUAUAUAACAAUCUCACCGCUUGGAAGUUUUUAACUUUUGUGGUUGAGUUGAACAUUUGACUUGCUGAGACGAAGUAUGUGUGGUGAUUGGUGAACGAAGAUAUUAUUUUUAACAGGUUCCAUAUCAAAGAUUAUGUCAUAGGAUUUGAGGAUCUUGAAACUGUGUGCAAGUCGGAACCGCGUAAGUAUCAGUUCACAAUCCACUUGCAUGAGUUUAUUAAGUAACUACUUCUUCAAUGACUUUGACAGCGUGGUAGCAGUAUUAGGAUCUGGAUUUGGUUAAUCUAUGGUGAGCCAAGGCUUGCAAGGACAACCACUAAAUGCAGUCACCACUGCUGCUGGUUUUGCUAUCUUCCAAGCAAUAUUUUUUCAAAGGGAGAUAUUAUUCUUUACUUUCUCACCGCUAUAUAUAUAUAUAAGGUUUCUUUCGUGUUGUAACUAAGACUGAUGUCUUGAUGCUUUUUGAAAUAUGAAUGAAGAGUGGUAAUAGAUGUGAGCAUCCCACCAGGGACAAGGUUUCUGAUGCUAGACCAUAUCCACAGGUUUGAAAUAAACUUCUAUGCUCUUGCAUUGAUGAAAGACUGAAUGUAUUAAAAAAAUACAAAGUGGAUUGAACCAUUCUCUGUUGUUUUGAGUGCAAGAUCCCGAAGUUAAACGGGCAAACGAGGAAAGGAUUUUUUUUUCUUUUUCCUAAACACAGAAAUACUAAUCAGCUAUAGCUUUACAUCGGGUAUGAGAGUAUGGAAAAUGUAACUCUUAAGGACCAUCUGUAGGCGUCGGAUAACCCUAGGUUGAACAGGAGGCAGAGACUUGAGAUAUAUGUUGGUGUAUCUAGAGGGCUUUACUAUCCUCAUACAGAUUUUGCAAUAGCCAUCAACACACAGCAAUGUGAAGUCUGCUAACGUUCACUUGGAUGAGAAUUUCAUGUCAAAGUUGCAGACUUUCUAUCGCCUAAGACUGGUCCAGAUCUUGACCAGUCUUAUCCAAGUUGACACCUCUAUGCGGGAGACCAGUCAUUGGUCCAUCUCUUCCGAGAGAGAAACUGAAUUUCAUUUGAAUGGGCGACGAAGUUGGUGAAGAAAGGGAAAAAGGGAUCAAGGACAAUUUUCUUGAUGAGAAGUGAAGCUUGAAGAGGUUAAGAAGCAGAGGCGGACCCACGUUGGAUAAAGGGGUUGCACCUGCCACAGGUUAAAAUUAUAUAUUAGCAAGUCUAUACCACGUAUUGUGAGUUAUCAGAGAAGUGUUUGUUGCAAGCCCGUACCGGUUUUCAGACUCCAUCAUCUAAAACAACUGGAUCAGUGAAAAAAGUCGUUCAUGUGUUGUUAAUCUUUUUUUUUUUUCUUUCAACUCUGUGUUGUUAAUCUGAAUAGGGUUUUGAUCCUCAAUAGCAUAUUUUUCAUGUAAACUAAUGAUCCAAAUGGAUUUAUUUAGAUUAUAUUUGUACUUUUGAGAGCUAGAGAAACGAAUUUCACACAAGUAAUUUUGUGAAAUGAAUA